UACGGGGGGGGGGCAAGCGUUGUUCGGAAUUACGUGGCGUAAAGGGCUCGUAGGCGGCCAACUAAGUCGGAUGUGAAAUCCCCAGGCUUAACCUGGGAACUGCAUCCGAUACUGGAUGGCUUGAAUUCGGGAGAGGGAUGCAGAAUUCCAGGUGUAGCGGUGAAAUGCGUAGAUAUCUGGAGGAACACCGGUGGCGAAGGCGGCAUCCUGGACCGGCAUUGACGCUGAGGCGCGAAAGCCAGGGGAGCAAACGGG
rnacentral:rRNA from 1 species